ACAUUGUCACACAUUGAUGCUUUUUUCUAGAUGGUGAGAGGGUGCGCGAGAUUUGUUGCCAAUUGAUUUGAAAAUUGUUAACCCAAUCAAAAUCAUGAACCAAAUUCAAAAAUGAAUAUUGAACGAAAAACCUUCUAAAUUAGAGUGCAUAGUAAAUUAAAAGCAUUGAAGGAGAGAACUCCUUGAGAAAUUAUUGACUCGGUCAAAAUCGGUGAGGCAAUUCCAAAUCGGAGACAUUUGAAUGUCAGGCCUCUAAAAUUAGAGAGCAUCGUGAUUCAUGACGCCGCCCUCUCCCUGUCAAUGCUCCCUCUCGCCGGCAUCUUGCUCUGCACCGCUGCUUAGCUCACCGCUCCCCACCACCGUGAUUCAUGUCGCACCUCUAAUCCGCCUGCCGCAGAGAAACAAAGCUUCCAUUUUUAUGCGCCGGCGACGCGCUGCUGGGCGAGGAGCUGGAUCCACGUGCGCUGGCGCUAAAUCUGAGUGCGCUGGCGCUCGAUCUGCUUUGUGGAUAGGAGUGAAGAAGGUGAUCAAGCGGAGCCCGAGCGGCGCCGGCCAGCGUGAAGACGGCGGCGUGAGGAGCUGGAGCCCGAGCGGGAGGAGUUGGAGCCGCAUCUGGACGUCGCCAUGAUGAGGGCUGGAGUCGCAUCUGGACGCCCCCAUGAGCUGGACUUUCCCGGCCACGAUGACGCCGACGCCGUGAGAGCUGAGUACUGGGCGACGAGAUGAACCUAGGCGAGCAAAAUUGAGAACUCCAGCUCCUGUGUAGUGGAGAGUACUUCACGGCAGCACAUGUGCGUGGGGAGGAACAACCCUUGGGCGCGCGCGGGCACCAGCUCACCUCCAUCAGCGGCCGGCAGCAAAGCACUAGCUCGCCUCCACUAGCGGGCAGCAGCAGAGCACUAGCUCGCCUCCACCAGCGGGCAGCAGCGUAGCACCAGCUCGCCUCCACCAACGGGCAACAGCAGAGCACCACCUGGGAGCAUGCGGGCCAGGAGGUGCCCCUGGGUGUGGGACAAGAGGAGUGCUUGGGCAGGGGCGGAGGUGGAGGGCAGGGGCGGAGGUAGAAGACGAGUGAAGGUUGAAGAUGGGCAGAUUCAAAUUUUGAACAGGGGUAUUAAAGUCAUUUGACAGGUUUUCACCUGGUCGGAACGCGAUGCCCAACGACCUACAUUUUGGAACGGAGGGAGUACUUCUUAUCUCUUUGGUCAUUUUUUCAA